GUAUUUAAGAGGCAUCAAAUAUCUGUUAAGACAUGCAUAAAUGAUGUUGUAAACUUACUUAUUUCACUUACUGGUACUGAUGAUAAACCUGAACUGAAAAUGAGGGUUUUUUUACCUGUAACUUUUUUAUUUCUGCAAAUUGGUAUCAAUGGUUGGUAUCAAAAUAAAGCUUAAUCUUUGCUGAAAACUUUACGUAAUUCAAAGGGCUUGGUUCACUAAUGUACAUAAAUGGCACCGAAUUUAGCCAUAUUAUACAUUACUUAUUCUACAUUGAUACAUAUGCUGUUCGUAACAAGUAAACACAAUGCUUCAUAUAUAAGUAAUAAACUUUGAAAAAUAAUGUGUUGUUGCGUUUAUAUAUUACUCCAAACAUGCCCCACUUUACAAAAAAAAUGUGAAUUUUCCAUGAAAUUUGAGACUUUAUUUAUGAUUUUCGCCUUGGCGGCAUCCUUUGCCAGUCUGAAUAUCUUAACCACUACUUCGUACAUUAAAAACCAACAAAAAGUGCAAAAAUCAUCGCUGGUGAGCAAUGCCGCCAUAUUCAAAAACGAAAAAAACGUCCGUCUCAGAGACACAUUUUUAUCCGAAAUAUACACAAGCCUCGAUUUCGGUAAAAUGACGUUGAAGUUGACGUCACUUAAUUAGAUAUUUGUUUUCAUUAAUUUGUUUUUCAGGCAACAGCCAUUAGAGCUAGUGUUAAAAUCAAUAAUAUCGGAUGAAGAUUUUUAAGUUUAAACGUUUCAACAUUUAGUGAAAUAUCACAAACCUAAUGAGUGAAUUAGCGAAUUGUUUCCCUUUGAAAUCAACACGCCAUUAUCGGUGGAUACAUGUCUGAAACUGGGUCAGAGAAUACAUGCAGUUAUUGCUCUGAAUAUACGUGGAUAUUUAAAGUGCAUGGCGGAUUUAAUAAUUGUUAUGGAUAACCUCCAGCAGUAAGAAAUAUAAAGGCUCACUGCAGUUUUGAGUGCUCAACAAGUAUUGACCCCAUACUAUGCUCAGCAAGUAGGGCCCUUGUAUUUCUGUGAAUCCUCAUGCAGUACAGUACUGCUGUUGGAAGAGGAGCAAACAGUGUGGUAUCUAUGGUCCACCAUAACUUCAAGCAUCAUGGCUAUGGAGAAAAGAAUGUUUCAUUACAUAUGGACAAUUAUAGUGGACAAAAUAAGAAAAGUGUUGUAAUAAGAAUGUCUUCUGCAUGACCUGGUAUAGAUAGUAUUCUUGAAGGAUUAUAACUUCAACACAGAGACGGAGAUUAAUAUUUUUAGGCAGGGGGUGGGCAUGACAGGCAAAUUCACCAACCGAAUUACCAUUCCUGAGCUGGAUGCCAGUCGACAGUGGUACCUGUAUAAUGAAAUAGCGCCCCUUUGCAGCAACAGCAGUGUAUGCUCAAAACCAGCAGUGUCAAAGCCAUUAAAAUUGAUAAUUCAAGUCAUUUAAAACAAAGAAUGAAUGGAAAAAAGUGUUUAACAUUUAAAGUAAUACAGAGAAAGAGCUCUGAAAUUUUGAUUAAUUUGAAAGUGUUUUUGAUUUUUUGAAGAUGUACUAGACCCAAAUUCCAUAUAUUUGAAAAAGAACAAAUGAUACGUAUAGUUUAUGUAAACAUUGAAUUAACAACUUUAUGGUAUCAACAGUACUAUGCAUUUGUUAAAUAUUGACUCACUAUAUACAUGUAAGGCUGAACACAGUAUAAAUGUGAAAUUCCUCUAAAACACUGGAAGAUUUUUCAACAAUAAUUGUAACAUAUAUGGUAGUAAUGUACAUUUUUUUCAUUACGACAGUUGGGAUUAUAUAGAUCUACAAAUAUUUUCUGCUGUAUUCAAACUGCAUGUAAUCAUUUCUGUCGGCAGUAUCAUGUUUAUUUUCCCUUUUCAUGAACAAUUAAUUUAACCUUUCUUGAAAGCACAAUAUAUGUAUAAUUUGUAAAACAUACAUUGGAUUAUUGUGGAAACAAUUUAGUUUUUGUAUGCCUAAUUAUAUGUUAUUGCCGUUAGUAUCAUCUAACUCUUUUAAUAUGAUCAAGACAUUUAAUAAGACAGUUUUCUUAAACUAUUACUGUGUGUUAAAUGAGAUUAUGUAGUAUUAUGUUUACGGAAUUAACUGCGUAACCAUGCAAACAUUUUUCUGUUGUUCUAUAUUAUGUCUUGUAAAAAACAUUGUUUGAAGAACACUUUUCAGUGGUGCAUUUUUUUAAAAUUUUUACAUGUAAUGGUAAAUGCUGAAAGUGUUCUACAAAAACUUAGCAAAAACGUCAUUGUUGUCUCAUUGAAGCAUAUACUGCAACUCCAUUGUAACCAUAGCAACAGAAAUAUAUUGUAUUAUUUAUGAAUUAUGAUCUUCACAAACAAAUUACAUAUGUUAUUUUUCUUAAAGAAUGACCUAAAUUGGUUUUAUUCCAUAAAAAACAGACAUAGCAAAUAUUCUCAUUUUUAUCUCCGUUUCCAUGGCAACCAUAUAUUUUUUUGCCUCAAAUUAUAGGCGUUGCUUAGGGUUAUAUCUUAGCAUAUCUGAAUAUUAAUUAUACGGUCUGAUGUAAUUGUUAUAAGAGAUUUUCGUGUUUCCAUAAAGAAAAUCAAUCGGUUGCCAUGGCAACAGCACAAUUUCAAAUGAAUUAAAAUAUGAGAUUUUGCAUUCUGAGUUGUUGAUCAUUCAUUAUAAUAAUAUUUCAACAACAUUUGAUGUUGUGCCAUUUUAACCUAUAAGUGAACCAAGCCCUUUAUAUUUAGUAAGCAAACUCACACGAAGUGAGGCCCUGAAAAGGGUUUGUAAAAUAGGGACUGUAUUAACGUUGACCAAAGAAGUAUAAAAUGCACAGAAUGGCAGUUGGUUGUAAUCUCGCGUGAUCUCGUGUCAGAGCGUGAAUCGGCGUUAUCUUAGUAAAAACAAACAUCGGCGAGCAUGGAGUUACAAUUUGUAAA